UGAACGCUGCGGCCAGGCCUAAUACAUGCAAGUAGAACGCUGAAGAAAGGAGCUUGCUUCUUUUGGAUGAGUUGCGAACGGGUGAGUAACGCGUAGGUAACCUGCCUUGUAGCGGGGGAUAACUAUUGGAAACGAUAGCUAAUACCGCAUAACAGCUUUUGACACAUGUUAGAAGCUUGAAAGAUGCAAUUGCAUCACUACGAGAUGGACCUGCGUUGUAUUAGCUAGUAGGUAGGGUAACGGCCUACCUAGGCGACGAUACAUAGCCGACCUGAGAGGGUGAUCGGCCACACUGGGACUGAGACACGGCCCAGACUCCUACGGGAGGCAGCAGUAGGGAAUCUUCGGCAAUGGGGGUAACCCUGACCGAGCAACGCCGCGUGAGUGAAGAAGGUUUUCGGAUCGUAAAGCUCUGUUGUAAGAGAAGAACGUGUGUGAGAGUGGAAAGUUCACACAGUGACGGUAACUUACCAGAAAGGGACGGCUAACUACGUGCCAGCAGCCGCGGUAAUACGUAGGUCCCGAGCGUUGUCCGGAUUUAUUGGGCGUAAAGCGAGCGCAGGCGGUUUAAUAAGUCUGAAGUUAAAGGCAGUGGCUUAACCAUUGUUCGCUUUGGAAACUGUUAAACUUGAGUGCAGAAGGGGAGAGUGGAAUUCCAUGUGUAGCGGUGAAAUGCGUAGAUAUAUGGAGGAACACCGGUGGCGAAAGCGGCUCUCUGGUCUGUAACUGACGCUGAGGCUCGAAAGCGUGGGGAGCAAACAGGAUUAGAUACCCUGGUAGUCCACGCCGUAAACGAUGAGUGCUAGGUGUUAGGCCCUUUCCGGGGCUUAGUGCCGCAGCUAACGCAU
rnacentral:rRNA from 1 species